rnacentral:misc_RNA from 1 species
GAUGAAGAACGCAGCGAAACGCGAUAUGUAAUGUGAAUUCAGAAUUCAGUGAAUCAUCGAAUCUUUGAACGCACAUGGCGCCUUCCAGUAUCCUGGGAGGCAUGCCUGUCCGAGCGUCGUUUCAACCCUCGAGCCCCCGUGGCCCGGCGUUGGGGAUCUGCCCAGGCAGUCCCCGAAAACCAGUGGCGGACCCGUUACAGGCCCUUCCCUUGCGUAGUAGCAUUCGCCUCGCAUCGGGAGCCGGCGGGCUUCCAGCCUCUAAACCCCCAUCAAGUCCGCCCCGGCGGCACCAAGGUUGACCUCGGAUCAGGUAGGAAUACCCGCUGAACUUAAGCAUAUCAAUAAGCGGAGGA